AACGAACGCUGGCGGCAGGCCUAACACAUGCAAGUCGAACGCCCCGCAAGGGGAGUGGCAGACGGGUGAGUAACGCGUGGGAAUCUACCCAGUGGUACGGAAAAACCGGCGGGGCAACCCGUUCGCCGAAAGGUCGGCUAAUACCGUAUACGUCCUUCGGGAGAAAGAUUUAUCGCCAUUGGAUGAGCCCGCGUCGGAUUAGGUAGUUGGUGAGGUAAAGGCUCACCAAGCCUACGAUCCGUAGCUGGUCUGAGAGGAUGAUCAGCCACAUUGGGACUGAGACACGGCCCAAACUCCUACGGGAGGCAGCAGUGGGGAAUAUUGGACAAUGGGCGAAAGCCUGAUCCAGCAACGCCGCGUGAGGGAUGACGGCCUUCGGGUUGUAAACCUCUUUCGCCUGUGACGAAGCGCAAGUGACGGUAACAGGUAAAGAAGCACCGGCCAACUACGUGCCAGCCGCCGCCGUAAAAC
rnacentral:rRNA from 1 species